GCCUUUAUAGUUUAACGGAUAGAAUGCAAGCUUCCGGAGCUUGAGAUGUGGGUUCGAAUCCCGCUAAAGGCA
rnacentral:tRNA from 5 species